GGCGGGGCGUGCUAAUGGGCGGCCGGCGCUGUGGGCUGCUGUUCUGCGCUGAUCGGUUCUCAUUCGCAUGCAGGGUAAAGGAGGCGAGAGAUCCACAUCUCUAGCUGAACAGCCGCUCGAGGAAAUGUCUCCUCCCUACCCAGCCAGAAGUUUGAUCCUUCCGAUCGAAGAGGUACCGUAUCAGUUUCCAUUUGCAAGACGUAUGGUUGGAAAAGGAUUGAAGUACUGGUGUAACACUAAUAAUUCUUACUAAGAUGUGAUUUCUAUGUCAAUGUGUAGAUGAUUCCUGAACAAUUUCUUAGGUAUUGGUAAGUCAUAUUGGAGACAAAUUGAGUUGUGAUAAUGCUAUGAUACUAAUGAUGACAAUGGUACCUAUGGCAAUGUGGGAGAUUAUAUAUAUGGCGAUGGGCAUUACGAUCAAGACGACGAUAAUGGUGAUGAGUCUGAUGAUCUUCGAGUCAUGCAACCAAGUGAAGUUAUGAAGUUCAUGGACAAUUUAGCUUAUGCACAAUGUUUGGACCAUUAUAUCUUAGUCAUUAUUUUGUUUUUCAUUUGACACUUCUUAGAUGCGUCGGUAUGGCCAAUGUAAUAUUGAUUCACCUCAUUAGAC